GAUCCCCGCCGCCGCCUCACGAGGGCAGCUUCGCCCCCGACCCAAGAUGGCGGCCGGGCAGCGCCGCGGGGCGGAGUUCUGGCGGCGCCAAGAUGGCGGAUGGGGGAGGUGGGACUACAGCUCCCGGAGCGCCGUGCGCGCCUCUCCACCGCGCAGCGGGGCGGCCCGGGGCGGUGCUGCCCGUCGGCCGGUGAGCUGAGCCUGCGGGAUCGGUGUCGGGAACCCACGGCAGCGCUGCUCACCGCAGAGUCAUAGGAUGGUUCAUGUCAGCAGGGAGCUCAGAGAUUUAGGUCCAACGCUGGGCCGGCUGCCCGCCCAGCUGACGCUGCCCGGGGUUCAUCCAUGGCCACGGGGCACCCGCAGCUCUGGGCAGUGCCGGCGCCUCGCCGCCCUCUGAGUGCGCGAUUUCAUUUCCCCGUGUCCUGUCGCUAUCAGACCGUGUGCGGUCUCUCCACUUCCAGCUCACAAGUUCCCUUACAGCACUGAAGGCCACACCGAGGUCCCUCUGAGCUGGACAAACCCGACUCCCUCAGUAAGAAAGGUGCUGGUAAGCAUGGACAGCCAGGAGGGCAGUGGGCUGUGCAGCCCCAGGCCUGCGCUGCACUGCUGAGGACGUACAGCACGCUGGCAGCCACACCGCAGUGUCCCUGUUCUUUGGCCAAUGGCCACAGCAAUCUCUUCUCACUCUCUUUGGAGCAAUGUGUAUCUUCAGUAGCUUUUCUUCCAUUGCUGCAGCUCACAGGCUCUGGAGGUCGGCCAUGCUCUGUGCCUCCUUCAGGCUCCACUCAGGUGGCUGUGCUGCAGGCUUUGUAGUUCCUUUCUGAAGAGGCAGGUUUUGGGGUGCAGCUUUGGAAAUGAGUGGAGGAGAAAGCGGGAGGACGGUGCUCACCCCACCUGACCCAGCACCUGUGGGAACGCAUUCCAUGGAGGCAGCUGCAAGACCACGCAUGCCUUUCCCCCGGUCUGCAGCUGCAUGUAGCCUUCGGCAGGCUUCAGCCUGCUUCUGCAAUGGCUCUUGCAGCUUCUGCGUUGUUUCCAACUGCUGAGGGAGCGGAGGAGGCUUUCCAGCCAGCCCUCCUACCCUUCUCCCGCUGCAGGCUCAGAGUCAGGGCUGAGCACUCAGAACUGAACACUCAACAGGGCUUUUUUGCUGUUGUGUUUCUAUUACGGGAAGAAUGUUUUUCUGAUCAGUGCUGUGGCAUGACUCAGAGCCAUUUUAGAAAGGAACAUCUAGGAACAAAUCAUCCUGUGCAGUCCAUCAACCGGGUUCAUCCGAUUUCCCUCCCUACUGGAGAGAAAUACCUGAAACACCCUCUCCAGUCCCUCAGCCUUUGGUUUUCUUUAACUUGUGAAGUGGCGAGCAACCAAGAAAGGAAAAAGCCCUCCAAACCAUGCAUUUAUUGAGCAGAAUUUAGUUGGAAUGAACACCAUGACCCAUCUGCCCAUGUGGAAGGAACAGACACUUUAUAUCCUCAGUCUCUGCCCAGGCUCCUGCUCUAUUUGAAACUCCUGGACAUUGAAUAUCACCUUCCUCUCUUGCAGGUCCUGAAGACCUGAGAUGCUGAGUGAAGUGUUUUGAAUAGGAUGGCAGGAUUCACUCAGAACCCAAAACGUGCACCUGCUUGGGAAGCUUGUCCAUGUGCAGUAUGUGGUACACCAGAGGAAAGAAAUCCCACCCCAUGUUUGUGUUCCUGGCAAAGAAACUGGA